rnacentral:sRNA from 1 species
UUGACAGCCAUGUAGACAGAAGUUUUAUUUAUCCACAGAACAAGUACAGCAUGAACAGCAGCAAUUCAAAUAUCUCACUACUGAUUUGCCUCAGACUUGAACUGAAGGGAAAACCAUUGUGAUUGAGAUGUUACAGUAAAUUCGUCAUUUGUGCACAUCCCAUUCUUAGCCUUU